CAGGCAUGAGCCACUGUGCCCAGCUGACUUAAUUAUUUCCGAAAGACCGCCACUCUCAUGUGCAUGCGCACACAUGCACAUCCCACACAAACACUCGGCCGCAGGUGGGAGUCCUGGUGGAGGUUACUGGGGAGAGCCAGCUAAGGGUCCAGUCAGAUUGCCUGAGUCAUGGGGGGAACAGGGUGGGAGGGCACUGUCUGGGAAGGUGUGAGGACAGUAUUAGGAGGGGCCAAAGAUGUGGCCACCUAGCCUUGUACAGAUGAGCAGAGCUGCUCAUCCGUUGCCCUGGGCAGGACUUCAGGACCAGGGCCAGAGGUCACCUUAAGGUGCCUAUCCCUGAGCAGGGCACAUGGACUGUGUGUGAGCCUGGCCUGCGUGGAACAAGCCAGCCUCCACUGUCCGCUGGGCUCUGCUGAGGUGCCCACCUCUG
rnacentral:lncRNA from 1 species